GAGUUUGAUUAUGGCUCAGGACGAACGCUGGCGGCGUGCGUAACACAUGCAAGUUGAACGACGGUGUCGUGAAGUGGUAACACGGAAUGGCAUACGGAGUAGCGGACGGGUGAGUACAACAUGAGAAGCUGUCCAAUAGUGGGGGAUAACGUUCGGAAACGGACCCUAAUACCCCAUAGGCCUUUUGGUUAAAGCAGCGAUGCGCUAUUGGAGGUGCUCGUGUCCUAUCAGCUGGUUGGUGAGGUAACGGCUCACCAAGGCGACGACGGGUAGCCGGCCUGAGAGGGUGUCCGGCCACACUGGAACUGAGAUACGGUCCAGACUCCUACGGGAGGCAGCACGUGGGGAAUAUUGGGCAAUGGGAGAAAUCCUGACCCAGCGACGCCGCGUGAACGAAGAAGGCCUUCGGGUCGUAAAGUUCUUUUAUGUGGGAAGAAGGAAGUGA
rnacentral:rRNA from 1 species